GAUGAACGCUAGCGGCAGGCCUAAUACAUGCAAGUCGAGGGGUAGUGGUUGCUUGCAGCCAUGAGACCGGCGCACGGGUGCGUAACGCGUAUGCAACCUACCUUCAUCUGGGGGAUAGCCCGGAGAAAUCCGGAUUAAUACCGCAUAAAAUCACAGUACGGCAUCGUACAAUGAUCAAACAUUUAUGGGAUGGAGAUGGGCAUGCGUGUCAUUAGUUAGUUGGCGGGGUAACGGCCCACCAAGACCGCGAUGACUAGGGGAUCUGAGAGGAUGACCCCCCACACUGGUACUGAGACACGGACCAGACUCCUACGAGAGGCAGCAGUAAGGAAUAUUGGUCAAUGGGCGCAAGCCUGAACCAGCCAUGCCGCGUGCAGGAAGACGGCCCUCUGGGUUGUAAACUGCUUUUAUUCGGGAACAAACCUGCUUACGUGUAAGUAGCUGAAUGUACCGAAGGAAUAAGGAUCGGCUAACUCCGUGCCAGCAGCCGCAGUAAAAC
rnacentral:rRNA from 1 species